UCCCUUCUAGCUUAAUCAUUAAAGUAUCUGCUUGCAAUGCAGGACACCUGGGUUCCAUCCCUGGGUUGGGAG
rnacentral:tRNA from 1 species